rnacentral:tRNA from 1 species
AUUUAAAUAGCUUAAUUUAGAGUGUAAUAUUGAAGUUAUUAAGGUGAUUUUAGUCUUUAAAUA